AUACGUAUGGGGCAAGCGUUAUCCGGAUUUACUGGGUGUAAAGGGUGCGUAGGUGGCAAGGCAAGUCAGAAGUGAAAGCUCGGGGCUCAACCUCGGAACUGCUUUUGAAACUGCCAGGCUAGAGUGCAGGAGAGGUAAGUGGAAUUCCUAGUGUAGCGGUGAAAUGCGUAGAUAUUAGGAGGAACACCAGCGGCGAAGGCGGCUUACUGGACUGUAACUGACGCUGAGGCACGAAAGCGUGGGGAGCAAACAGGAUUAGAAACCCGGGUAGUCCACGUCGUAAACGAUGAAUACUAGGUGUUGGGGAGCAAAGCUCUUCGGUGCCGCAGCUAACGCAUUAAGUAUUCCACCUGGGGAGUACGUUCGCAAGAAUGAAACUCAAAGGAAUUGACGGGG
rnacentral:rRNA from 1 species